rnacentral:rRNA from 1 species
UACGGGGGGGGCAAGCGUUGUUCGGAAUUACUGGGCGUAAAGGGCUCGUAGGUGGCCAACUAAGUCAUGCGUGAAAUCCCUCGGCUUAACCGGGGAACUGCGUCUGAUACUGGAUGGCUUGAGUUUGGGAGAGGGAUGCGGAAUUCCAGGUGUAGCGGUGAAAUGCGUAGAUAUCUGGAGGAACACCGGUGGCGAAGGCGGCAUCCUGGACCAAUACUGACGCUGAGGAGCGAAAGCCAGGGGAGCAAACGGG